CCGCGCCGGCCAUCACCACGGCCGCGUCGUACCGCUAGCCGUCGCACGGCCACAUGGCCAGGCCAGCGCUGAAGACGCUCACCGCCGGUGCACGGGAGGCCAAGGACGAGCUCAUCCGCCUCUGCACAAGCGGCCGCCUCAAGGACGCCGUCCGCCACCCCUUCCGCGACGUCCUCUGGUCGGACGUCAGCCUCUUCGCGCACGUCUUCCGGGCCUGCCGCGCCGUCCCGCUCCUCCGCCAGCUCCACGCCUUCGCCGCCACCUCGGGCGCCGCCGCCGACCGCUUCACCGCCAACAACCUCCUGCUGGCCUACGCGGACCUGGGCGACCUCCCCACCGCGCGCGACCUGUUCGACAGAAUCCCCAAGCGGAACGUCAUGUCCUGGAACAUUCUGAUCGGGGGCUACAUCAAGAACGGCGACCUGGGAAGCGCGCGGACGCUGUUCGACGAGAUGCCCGCGAGGAACGUCGCCACCUGGAAUGCCAUGGUCGCUGGGCUCACCAAUGCAGGGCUUGACGUGGACAGCCUGCACUUCUUCCUCGCCAUGCGAAGGGAGGGGUUGCAUCCCGACGAGUUCGGCCUGGGGAGCGUGUUCAGGUGCUGUGCUGGGCUCGCCGAUGUCGUCUCUGGGCGCCAGGUCCAUGCCUAUGUCGUGCGGUGUGGGAUGGACACUGACAUGUGCGUUGGGAACUCCUUGGCUCACAUGUACAUGCGGUGCGGGUGCCUUGCACAAGGCGAGGCCGUUCUCCAGGCGCUUCCGUCUCUGACGGUUGUGUCAUUCAAUACCACGAUCGCUGGCAGGACGCAGCAUGGCGACUCGGAGGGAGCACUGGAGUACUUCUCCAUGAUGAGAGGUGUUGGGAUCACGGCAGAUGUGGUCACCUUCGUUAGUGUUAUUACCUCUUGCUCGGACUUGGCAGCCCUUGCACAAGGUCAACAGGUUCAUGCACAGGUUAUCAAGGCUGGAGUAGACAAGGUUGUGCCAGUCAUUACUUCCCUUGUGCACAUGUACUCUCGAUGCGGAUGCUUAGGUGACUCGGAAAGAGUUUACUCUGGUUAUGGUGGAUUAGAUCUUUUCCUCCUCAGCGCAAUGAUCUCUGCUUGCGGGUUCCAUGGGCAAGGACAUAAAGCAGUUGAGCUCUUUAAACAGAUGAUGAAUAGAGGGGCUAACCCUAAUGAGGUUACUUUCCUGGCCCUGCUAUAUGCGUGCAGCCAUAGUGGUCUGAAAGACCAAGGCCUGGAGUUCUUUGAGCUUAUGACUAAGACUUAUGGACUGCAGCCAAGUGUGAAACACUACACUUGUAUUGUGGAUCUGCUUGGGCGAUCAGGUUGUCUGGAUGAAGCAGAGGCCCUUAUCUUGUCAAUGCCUGUACGUGCUGAUGGGAUCAUAUGGAAGACACUGCUGUCUGCCUGUAAGACCCAGAAGAAUUUUGACAUGGCCGAGCGGAUAGCCGAACGAGUCAUUGAGUUUGACCCUCAAGACUCUGCGCCUUAUGUUCUGCUAUCAAAUAUUCGUGCUACCAGCAAGAGAUGGGGAGAUGUUAGUGAAUUAAGAAAAAAUAUGAGGGAGAAGAAGGUGAGAAAGGAGCCUGGUGUCAGCUGGGUGGAACUUAAGGGCCAGGUGCACCAGUUUUGCACUGGGGAUAAAUCACAUCCAAGACAAGGGGAGAUCAUUGAGUACUUGGAAGAAAUGAUGGCCAAGAUUAGGGAAUGUGGCUAUGCACCAGAUAUGAGCAUGGUGUUCCAUGAUAUGGAGGAUGAGGAGAAAGAGGUUAGCUUAACUCACCACAGCGAGAAAUUGGCAAUAGCAUUUGCGCUUCUGAGCUUACCUGAAGGAGUUCCUAUCCGAGUAAUGAAGAAUCUACGUGUGUGCGAUGACUGCCAUGUUGCUAUCAAGUUGAUAUCUCAGGUCACUGGUCGAGAGAUUGUGGUGAGAGACGUAAGCCGCUUUCACCAUUUCAGAGAUGGCAAAUGCUCUUGUGGAGAUUAUUGGUGAUGGGAGCAUUCAGCUGUGGGAAUAUCUUUCCCAUCUGCUGCAGGAACAAGAUUUGGACACUUGGUUCGUGGACAUUUUGAGGUCACCAGGUUGUUCAUGAAGUUGGAUAUUGUGCUUCCGGAGGUUCUGAUCCUUCUGAGAGCAAGGUACAGAAGAAAACUAACAGUACAAUAAUACUGUACUUGUAGCAACAAUGGUGCAAAGCUGCAAAACUGAAGGCAAGUCUCUUUUGCUUGUCAUGCAGUAUACUUUGAUUUGAAUGUCAAUUAGGUGCUUUUUUCUUCAGUCGAUGUAUAUUUUGAUCAAUAAGAACA